UUUUUUACCGGUUCCGGUAUGUACCUGCAAAGAAUCUACCACACAAGGUUGCUUUUAGAUUAGUGCUGUGUUGGACCCAUAUAGAGUUAAUUUUCUUUUCUUCCGCUGAUACAGAACAUAUACGAAAGGAAUACAUCGACGGGGCCGAAGGAUAAAUAUCUCCCAACCUGUCCCGUGCCCCCGUCUCUCCCAGCCCACCCCGUACCCAACCUCUCUCCAUCUCUGGCGACCGGAUCCGGCGACCGUCCCAACUCCGGCCGCCGGAUCCGCUUCCCCGGCCAGUUGCCAGCCCAACAACGACGGAUUCAUGGUCGGACGACCUCGUCUUCAACAGAGAACCAGCGAGGCAGGUUGGCGGCGAUGACGUGGCUUUCCCUGGCCGGCGUGAGGCUCCCGUCCUCCUUCGUCCUUGUUGCCCGUCCGCUGGUGUCGCCAUGAGUGGAUCUCGCAGCGCGGCCCCCACGACGCGUCCCUUCGCGCGGUUGCCGCCGGAUCCGGCGACUCCAAGCAUAGCCGCCGCCAGAUCCCUUCCCCUUUCUCUCUCCCGCGGACCUGGCUGCAUCCCUCUGAUGGCCUCCCAUGCUCCUUGCCGUGGAUUCAGUUUCAGUUCUUCUUAUGUGAAGAUAAUUAGUUAUUGUUUUCUGGAGGUGAAAUGAGAAUUCAGUAGUUGUAUUUGAUGUGAAUUGUGAAACAAUACAACUUGGGCACUUUCAGUGCAAUUACAAUAUAUUUUAAUUGUGAAUCAAGUUUCUUUC